AUUGGAGCGCCAACAUGAGGGGUAACAUGCAGCACAUAGAGGGUUCAUACGUGAAGACAAACAUCCCUUCCUUGAAGUUCAACGG
rnacentral:SRP_RNA from 1 species